ACAGCGCGACUGCAGCAACUAUAGUGAGCAAGGUGGAAUUUUCCGCUUAUCGACAGUUUAGCGUGGUCUUAGAAUCAGCGCUGACGGAAUCGGUACCCGAUUCUCGUGAAUCGUCGACCUUCCGUGCUCGAGUGGUUUCGGCGAGUAUUGCGAGGCUCCAGUUCCUCCGCAGGGUGUUUACCCGACACCAACACCGGGUACCAUGACCACGACGAGGAUGGAGAUUUCACCUGCGCAGUCUGGCGACUCUGGCGAACCGGCGCGGCACCCAUGGUCGAACGCGCAACGGUCACGUUUAGCCAAAGCGGAGGCUCUGUAUACCUCGGCGCUACGGCUACGUGCCUGGGUACAUCACGUGCAGCUGUCCGAAACUUCAUUGCAACAUUGCAAGUCUGGUCUCGGUGUAACAGCCAUCCGCGGUGUGCCGCACGCAACCGGCUUGGACACAGUCGGCGCUUCAGACGCGGCGCGGCCCUCACGGACCGCUGUCGUUGCAAAAAAGCACAGAAAUUUGGCAAUUGCUCGGCUAUGGUGUUCCCGCGUUCGACGCGUGGGGUCCACAAAUGGCGUGAAGGAAUUCGGGAACACAGACAGAGGAUCCUCGCCCACCACUUUCGACCACGGCCACGAAUAGGGAGAGAACGCGAUUGCGAGAUUAGACCAUCAGACGUCCCCUUUGGCCGUAUCGUAAGUCGAGAA